UCCUACGGGGGGCAGCAGUGGGGGAUAUUGCACAAUGGGGGAAACCCUGAUGCAGCGACGCCGCGUGUGGGAAGACGGUCCUCUGGAUUGUAAACCACUGUCCCCAGGGACGAAGAUGACGGUACCUGGGGAGGAAGCUCCGGCUAACUACGUGCCAGCAGCCGCGGUAAUACGUAGGGGGCAAGCGUUAUCCGGAUUUACUGGGUGUAAAGGGAGCGUAGACGGCACUGCAAGUCCGGAGUGAAAGCCCAAGGCUUAACCAUGGGACUGCUCUGGAAACUGUGGAGCUUGAGUGCGGGAGGGGG
rnacentral:rRNA from 1 species